CAGUAGCCGCGGGAAAACGUAGGGUGCGAGCGUUAAUCGGAAUUACUGGGCGUAAAGCGUGCGCAGGCGGUUCGUUAAGACAGAUGUGAAAUCCCCGGGCUUAACCUGAGAACUGCAUUUGUGACUGGCGAGCUAGAGUAUGGCAGAGGGGGGUAGAAUUCCACGUGUAGCAGUGAAAUGCGUAGAGAUGUGGAGGGAUACCGAUGGCGAAGGCAGCCCCCUGGGCCAAUACUGACGCUCAUGCACGAAAGCGUGGGGAGCAAACAGGAUUAGAUACCCCGGUAGUCCCUGUCUCUUAUAC
rnacentral:rRNA from 1 species